AUCUAUGGGCUCAGUUCUUCUGG
rnacentral:miRNA from 1 species